CAAGAUAUUUCAUAAUAAUCAAAACCAAUGGAAUGGCUCAAAAGAUAUUUCCCACUAAUAAAAAAAAAUCACCUGUUUAGACAAUAUAAUUAAGUGGUAUAGAGUUAUUCAUAUUGCCAACCCAAAUUCGAACAACAGAUUGCUCAAAUAUUUUGUAACUCCUAAAUUAACAUACGUUUAAUAAUUAUGUUAUCAUAAGUAUAUGAAAUGAGUAAGAUACAGAUAACACAUGAGUAUUUACCAAAAGUAACUUUAAGCAAGGCAAGUAUUUUCUUAUUUUAACAAGACUUAAAUACAAAAGGGAACUUUUUUCAAUCACAUUAUUAAAGAAAAAGGCAGACAAUUUUAAGUGUAAGGCAUGGUGGUUGGGUCAGGAACUCAAGGCCAGGGCUGAGGUCAAAUGUAUCAAGAAGAAUCACUGGUUGCACACCAAGGCCAGGUCCUAACAAGUGUUGAUAUGGUCCUGACAUGGAUCUACCAUCAUACAUAUAAAAUUCACUAAAAUAAAAAAAAAUGCCAUCGAAUAAUUAAUCAUAAUUUCCAUUGCAUAAGUUUGAAAAUCACAAAUCGAAAACAAUAGAAAAACUAACAAAAUCAUAUAUGAACAUCAUUUAAAAUCAAGAAUUUCCAAAUUUGCAUUUGGCACAUAUAUCAGUCAAAAUCUCCAAAUCAAACCCAGUAGAUUUUCCAAAUAUAACAAAAUCGCACAAGUUAAUUCUCGAACAGUUUUCUUUAUGCAAAUACAAGAGUAGAGAAGUACCGUUCUUGGCCAGCAG
rnacentral:misc_RNA from 1 species